GAUGAACGCUGGCGGCGUGCUUAACACAUGCAAGUCGAACGGACAGACCCUGCUCUUGCUCGGUUCUCGUUUGCCGAACGGGUGUGUAUCACGUGAGUAUCCUGUCCUUGUCUUUCGGAUAUCUUCUGGAAACUGCGGCUCAUAUCCGAUAGGAUCUCUUGCUGCAUGGUGUUGGUUGGAGAGAUUCGGCUGUUGGGGAUGGUCUGGCGGCUUACUCGCUUGUUUGUGGGGUAGUGGCUUACCAAGGCUUUGACGGGUAGCCGACCUGAGCGGGGGACCGGGCACAUGGGGACUGAGAUAGGGAGCAGAAGGCUACGGGAGGCAGCAGGGGAGAAUAUGGCACAAUAGGCGGAAGCCAGAUACAGCAGCGCCGCGAGCGGGAAGACGGCCUACGGGGGGAAAACCGAUGUCGACUGUGACGAAGCGUGAGUGACGGUAAUGGGUAAAAAAGCAACGGCUAACUACGUG
rnacentral:rRNA from 1 species